GGGGGGGGGGGGGAGCUGGUGGAAUGCUGGAUCUCAGAUUCAGCACCUUUUUGGCAAAAAAGUGGAGAAAGGUGUUACAAUCAUCAGCUGAAGAUAGCUGAGCCUGCUGCGGAGGAGAAGAAACUAUGCUGGAGAUGGUAUCAAACAAAACCUUAGGAUUAUUCUUAUUUUGACAUAUGAGGUUGCUGAAGAAAGAAGACUUUGCAUUUUCUACAGCUUUGUUGUAUAACUCUAGAAGUUCUUUAAAAUAUUCGCAAUGAACAACCAAACCUGUCCUCUUAGGAGUAGGAGCUAAAAUGGUGUUAGGAACUACGGUAAAAGGUUCCUAGUUCCUACUGUUGAACACGCGCAAACGGGGGCUGGAAAGGUUCUAGGAACAAAACAAAAGGAAACACUGAAGAGGAUAGUAAAGUGGUCGGGUCGCCUGCUUGGAAAACAAGUGAAAAGUGUGGCACAACUGUACAGCGGGCAGGUAGACAGAAUUGCCAACGCUAUUGUUAGGGACACGGGCCACCCACUGCAUGCCCAGUUUGCCCUCCUGCCAUCAGGACGGAGAUUUAUUGUGCCUAAGUGCAGGACCAAGAGGUAUAAAAGGAGCUUUAUUCCUGAGGCAGUAACAAUUCUCAAUAAGAAAUGAGUCUGGCGUGGCUACUUUACUUGAUUUUAUCUCUAUUUAUUCAUGUAUUGUUUUUAUAAUUUUUGUAUUUUUAUGGAUGUGUGUAUAUUUUGUGAGUGUGUGUGUAACUGGGCGCUAAUUCUCAUGUCACAUGGCAAAUCAAAUUUACCUUCGAGUACUAAUAAAGUUACCUUGACCUUGACCUUGAGGAACUACAAAAGGUUCCUACAGUCCGAAUGUGCCUUAUGAGGACACACACAGCAAUUUAACAAAAUAAUGUGGUUCAGAGUCUCCAAAAGCCACACAUGCCUGCCUUUGUUUAUCUUAUUAUGGUGGACACCGCGGCCUUUCGCCCAGCGGCUCGGGGAUUUCCACAUCCCUGAGAAGUCCUUCAGAUUUACAGUAUAUGUAAGCACUACACCGCCCAUCGAGACCGAACUGACGCUAUCCUCCCCGCACCGUACCGACGCUAAUGUGUAAGUGGCAAUUAAGGCUCCAUCAGAUGUUGUUUUUCAUCUGGUGGUGGGGUCCAGAAGCAGCUGAGAUGCUGACCUCAGCGCUCUGACUGGAUCAUGAUGCUGCAGCUUAUCAGACACAUUUCAUUUCCUUAAAGAGUCUUAACACCUCCUGAACUGAAUGAUGAAACUAACCUAAAGCAGCCAGGGCGCAUGAUCAAUCUGAAUACGGUCACACUCACCCUGUCACAAAAGGAAGACUUCAGCUUGUUAGAGAGGAAAUGUUUGUGAGGCAAAGAGCUUUUCCAGACAACAUCCUGAACAAAGUGACUCCAAGAAGAAGUGAAUGGAGGAGAACCAGAUGUUCAUGGAAGAAUGAGAAUCAGAAGGGUUUUAUUGCCAUAUGUGCGUGAAUCAUAACAAUAGGAAAUCGCUGCGGUACUUGGUACAAGAAAAAAGUAAAUGAUAAGCAAAAUUAGAAUUAAGAAAUGAACACAAUGUAAUGAUAACAAUAUAGGGAAUCAAUAAUUAGAGAAGCAGCUACUUUGUAUAUGUAGUUAGAGGGAGCUUGUUGGGUAAUUUUUACUUCUCCAUAACCCUUGAACCUGAAAUAAACACACAUCAUAAGAGGGAAUUUCAUUGUACCCUGAGUCCCCAAAAUGAUGGAGAGUCGACGCAGGGGAAACCCCCUCCGAGGCUGGCCCCAUGUCACUCCCAUGAGUCCUCAGUUUACCAGGGGUUUUAUUGACCAACAGGACAGAGAAGGUGGGCCUUCUCAAGUUACAUACAGGUACACCCAUCUCCUAGGGUUACCAUGGUUACCACAUUCCAGAGAUCUGGCCUCAGGCCUUACAAAGAAAGAUUCACAGACCAACCAACAUGAACAUUUAAUAAAAAUACCUAACAAAUCCCUCCUGAUGUUCAUUUUGGUUGUCAUAACAAAACCAAUGCAAGAUGUCAUUAACCCAAUAAUCAAUUAGUAAGCAAGAAUUAUGAUUGACGCACCCUAUCAAUGCGAGGACUUUAGCUUAACACCAGACAGACACCAUUUUAUUCUGCAUUCCUAGCUUUAUUAGUUUAUUCCCCCUGAAUGUUACCUUUGAGCAAUAACAAUAAAAAUAAAAUACAUUAUCAUGUCAACAAAAACCAGAGUACGAAUUAUGACACACCCACCAACCUGGAAUUUGGAAUGACCAAUCAAUCGGAUCUUAGCUCAACAUUAAACCAGAUAUCAAAACCUCUAUAAUACUCUGAGCUUUAUUAAAUCAAUUCACACCAGUAGACAUCAAAAACCAGAUAAAAUUGAUGACCAUUACCCAAUGCAUGAAGUGCAUAUCAUAAAACGCUGAAGAUGAUUUACGGAUCUCUGAACCUUCUCCACAUCUGUCAUUUCCUCCUGUGGUCAAACCAUGGCUUGUAGGACUGAACAGGUUUCAAAGGUUCUGUAUUUUCAGUGGCUGGCUGACCCGUGGUUCUGGUUCCCUCCGAACUUUGUGUUUGACCCCCGCACCUCAUCUCCAGUUCAGGCGUGAUGCACUGCAAUGAGUCUUGGUCACAGACUGUGCUCUCAGCUCUGUGUCGUCCUGCUGAUGUGUCGACGCAGGAUGGAGGUUGGUACUGUUUUGUGUCACUUCCUGAGCGAGCUGACUGAUCCACAGCAGGUUUGUGGUGUUACAUCAGCUCAAUCAUGUCUUCUGGCCUCAUCCGUCUUGGACUGCAAGUCAGCAGUUCUGCCAUGUCUUUCUGGCCCAUCUUGGACUGUAGUUCAGUGACCUGACCUCCUUGCGAACUUUCACAGCUGCUUGCACAGAGGAACUCAGACUUCCCCUGCUGGUUAUGGUAUUUGGGUGAUCUGAUCCUGUGAAAGUUUCUAGGUCCUGGUGUUCAAAUAUGUCCCAGUCUGUCUCUGUGAAGCAGUCUUGUAAUUUGUUGAGAGCAUUUUCUGGCCAGGUUGUAACAGUCCUUGUGGUGGGCCUGGCACUGCGCCUGAGGGGAGUGUAGGCUGGGGAGAGCAGGAGAGAGAGAUGGUUGGACUGACCAAGGGAGUGUACAGUCGGUAAAAACGGCUCUCCCUUGCCCUGCCUCCAACAUGCCUCCAUCUAAAUAGGAUACAUUAUCCAGAGUUAUCUCUGUAGUUAUGCUGCUAUAGGCUUAGACUGCUGGAGGAUACACUGACCACUUUUCACACUCUACUGCUUUAUUCUAGUCUGCUCUUUAACUGUAUUAUUUUCUGCAAUUUCAGCUGUUAACUUUAUUUUCCCUCCAAGUGUUUUUCUCCCCAGAAGAAGCUAUAAUGAUGUUCUGCUGAGCUGUGGUGGCCUCAUGGAGGGGGCUAUCGUCUAGCACACUGCUGCUAACCACUUAAACAUUCUCCCUCUACUGAUAAUAACUUUUUGCUUUCCUUGACGUUGGAUGUGCUACUGCUAGUUUAUCCAUUUAAUUAUAGAUCCACUAGGAUAAAUAUAAUAAAGGUUAUCUCUCACCAAAUAGAAUAUUUACUAAGAAAUCACAAUGUAACUAUAGACACAUUACUUUGUCGUGUGUGUGUGUGUGUGUGUGUGUGUGUGUGUGUGUGUGUGUGUGUGUGUGUGUGUGUGUGUGCUAUGUCUUCUCGAUCCUCUAGUGGUUUUUCCUGUUAAAAGGGAGUUUUCCUCUCCACUGUCGCUUUAUGCUUGCUUAGUAUGAGGAUUGCUGUAUAGUCACUGACACUAGUCAGUGACUUGAUGCAAUUUGCUGGGUUCCUUAUAUAGGAAACAUUAUUUCUGAAUGGCUUAAUGAACUGACCUGAAUUGGAAUGUUUAUUAUGUGAAGUGCCUUGAGACGACUCUUGUCGUGAUUUGGUGCUAUAUAAAUAAAACUGAAUUAAAUUGAAUUGGGAAUACAUAGUAAUAAAAAUUUAUCAGACGUUAGACAUAACAGAAGAGAAGAAACUAAACUGAAGUAUAUGGUGGGAGAAGGGGGCGAACAAAGAUCAUCUGCAAUGGAUGCACCAUUUUCAUUGUUCGAAUUAGACAAGGUACUGAGGUUGAGUAAAGUAUCAGCGUCAGGAAAAGACAAUAUCAGCUAUGUAAUGCUUAAUCAUUUAGGGGAUAAGAUGAAUGCUAAACUGUUGGAAUUGUUCAAUAAAGUCUGGGAUGAAGGGAAGCUGCCAAGGAAUUGGAAAGAAGCAUUAAUAAUACCAAUACUUAAACCAGGAAAAACCCCAAGUAACCCAGAAAAGUACAGACCUAUAGCAUUGACAUCACAUUUAGGGAAGAUCAUGGAGAGAUUAAUUACGGACAGAUUAAAUUAUUAUUUAGAAAGUAAGAAAUUGUUAACUAAGUAUCAAAACCGAUUCAGGAAAGGUAGAGGAACAAUGGAUCCAGUAGCGAGUAUGGAAACUGAAAUUAGAAGAGCACAGAAUAAUGAAAGUCUAAUAGUUGUUUUUUUUUCUCGAUAUUGAGAAAGCUUAUGAUAUGUGUGGAAGGAGGGAUUACUGAUUAAAUUAAGAAGAUUAGGAAUUGUAGGUAAAACAUAUAAUUGGAUAAAGGAUUUCUUAUUUAAUAGAUUCAUUCAAGUGAAAAUAGGGCAUAGCACUUCAAAUAGUUAUACGGUUGACAAUGGUACACCUCAGGGUAGAGUAAUUUGUCCAGUGUUGUUUUCUGUUAUGAUUAAUGAUGUGUUUGAUGAUUUAGGAUUAGAUAUUGGUAAAGCUUUGUUUGCGAAUGAUGGUGUUAAAAGGAAAAAGGGAUGAAAUAUUAAAUAUGUACAGAAGAAACUACAGGAGGCAAUCAUGAGGGUAGAAGAUUGGUCUUUUGACUGGGUCUUUAAAUUUUCAGUUGACAAGUCUAAAAGUAUGGUUUUUACAAAUAAAAUAAAUGUCAAAAUUGAACUCAAAUUGUAUGAAACUUUACCAGAGCAGGUUCAUAGUUUCAAGUCACAGCAAAUUGAAAAGUGUUACUUUUCCAGAGUUUGAGUAUGUAGUUAUUUUUUUUACACUGCAGUGUAUAUUAAUAAUUUAAUACACUUCCUGUGUUGAUAGAGUGACUCCUACUGGUGUCAGUUGUUUAAGCAGGAUUGGUGAAGAGUUUUUCCUGUCCUUACUAGCUCUCUUGGUGUUUAUUUGUGAUUGAGUCUCCACGGUUCUCAUUUCACAUAUCGUGCGUGUUUACGUCAUGGGCGUCUGUUGACGCCGACGCGUGCAGGCGGCCAAAGGAAAGUUUUCGGCGGGACGGUCCUCCAUUGAUUUACGGAGCAGUGGAAGAAACAGCGAUUUUCCAGACAACGUAGCUUACAGGUAAGGCAUAUAUUGAUGGAAUUUUAAUUUCAAAGACAACGUUUAAUAAACUGGCCGUUAGAACUGGUACAUAUUGUCAUCAUUAUCGCCUGGCUUUUAGUUUAGGAGAAACUAAUUUGCCGUUGCUAACUAAAGACAACGCAAAAUAUGUAUUUAUACACAACUCUCAAUUUUAAAAUGCAGUAAAUAAAUGCCAUGGAAGCGGUCUUUAACUGAAGCUGUUUAGCAAGAAACCCAGGGAAUACUUUGUUGUGUGCUAGCAGUAAUAGAAAUGUGCUUUGUAGUGAUGGGACGAGCUAACUUAACGUAGCAGUUUUUUCCCCGAAAUACUAGUUUUCUUUUUGAAUUGCAGUUCUGCUGACUCCCGCCUUUACAUGCUUUAGCAAUCGUGGAGAAUGCUUUUAGGUUUAUUCCCAGAAUUUUUCAUAAAGCUAAUCCUAAAAACAAUGAAGAAAAGCUUGAAGACCCAGGCGGUGUACACUCUAGUGGCGAGCACGUUUACAAAUCAUCCAACCCAGGAGUGCCACUUUGUUUUCCGCCUUGAUGGCGACAUUUUCCCUUCGGACUUCGUAAGCUAGGAAGAGUUGCAAACCAAUUCCCCGCCAUGGACAACAGAGGGCGUUGCGCUUUCCUGAAGAAUCCUGCCACCAUUAUGAUUGAUCGCUGCAGUUCUCCGUCCUCAGUCUCGAUCAAAGUUAUUAGAAAAAUACGAGUUUUACAUAUCCUUGUCUGUUAGUGCAGCCAGCCACCCAGCAAGUAGUUACCAUUUUACUGUGAAAUCAACUAAAUAAAAGCGAUAAAAGGCUACAGACAGGCUUGUUUUGACUAGCUUCACCGGAGUUUCAACGUGUGUAAACGGCCUUUUUCAAUUCAAUUCAAAGAUACUUUAUUAUUUUGCCGUCCAUCAAGGUGAACGAGCCGAUCCCAUGUGUGGCGUGAGGUCACAUGCAAAGGGUCAAUACCGACGCAGACGGAGAAGUAUAAAUCCGGCUCAAAGACUGAAAACUGGGUGUUUCUUUGGAAGGAGCCUUGAAAAGCUAAGCUAAGUAGGAGCAAUCGAUUUCAGUUGGGGAAACAAAAUAAAUCUGGACUAAAGAUGAGAAGGUUUCCACUGUGCAAAGGAAUGCAUAUAAAGGUUAUUGCUAUAUGCUGGCUGCUGUGAUUCUUCUUUUUCCCAGACGAUGCUUUUCAAAGUGCAGUAUAUAGGAAAAAAAACGCUAUAUCAAGCUCAAUGGAGCCUCAUAUUCUACAUUCCUCAGUCAAGCCAAGGAGAAGUUUGGCAUCCAAGAUGAUAAAAGGAUGUAUCUUGUGGAUGAAACUGGGACAGAAGUAGAUGAGGAUGUCUUUACUGAUGUUCUGGAGGAGAAAUCAGACAUUGUCUGGACCCUCAUUGAUGCCUCUUCUGUUGAAGAAUCUUCGGUGCAAUCCUCAUGCACAGACACGCUCUCCUUGUCAUCUUUUUCUUCAGACAGCGAGUUAUCUGUUCUGUCCCCUAAAAGACGUCGCAUUGAUGAAACCACGAUGAUGUCCCCAAGAAGAGAUCAAAAUGAAGACACUUCAUUACAAGCCAAAGAGGUGAUAUUUUCAAUUCAUUUAAAUAAAUUACAUUUAUUUGAUUUAAUUUUGUGUGAAUUUGUUUCUAAAUGGAGGCUGUUAUUAAUAGGGAGGCUAAGUCACACCCAUCUACUUCUGGACCACGGGUCCCCCAGAAGAACAAAAAAAUGAAUGCAAGUCAACGGGGCUAAAACCGUUAUUUUCUAAUUUCGCUUGUUAUGUGCCAUGGAUUUUACAUAUGAUGUCCGUGAAUUUUAAAGAUGCAUUUUGAUACCAAGAAAGCGCUUAUUUUCUAACGGGAGGAAACGUUAUUUUAGAUGUUGUGUGAAAAUAAGCCCAAGACUACAAAUGCAUUUCACAAAAGUGACGUCAUCGAACCAGACACGGAGAAAAACAGAGGGAAAAUAGCUGUAAGUUCAGCAAACUUCAAAUCCUUCCUUCAGACGGAGAAAACGCCAUAAAUCUGGCCAUUUGGUAAGUAGCAGCUACGCUACGGGAGAAGAGAUUCUGUGGUGACGUCAUAUAUGCAACGUGCUGAUGUUUGAUUUGCAGUCAUUCUAAUUACGAACAUUUACAAGCUGAUAAAUCUCAAAGUACGUGACUGGUGGGGUCCAAACACCCAUCAUUAGUUUUCAUUUAAAUUGCAGUACAACAUAUGUGCGAUCCAGGGCGUAAGGCAAAGCAGAUUAGAAAAUAGCGGUUUUAGCCCCGUUGACUUCCAUACAAUGUUUUCAUUCUUCUGGGGACCGAUGAGCCGACCGGAAAGGGAAGAGACUUAGGCUCUCUAUACAGUGCCUCUGGAAAGUAAUCACAUCACUUUUUCCAUAUUUUGUCUUGUUACAACCUUACUCCAUGUUACAACCCAAGCAUCUAGGAGAUCUGGGGUAACAUUGAGGACACGUAGCACAGGUAAAAAUCAGUAUAAGAAACAUAAUUUAACAAAAAUGGCCCCUGACGUCAGGCUUAAACAUUCACAGAAACUGAAACUAAUACAAGGAGCUGAAUUGACUGAAAAGGAACACACAAUGCAAACACACUCAAAGUCUCAUUAAAUGACACCACUGUGUCCAAACUGAGACCAAACACACAGUCUCCACAGACAUUGUGAUAUCUUGGCUGUGUGCUUAAAGACGUUCUGCUGAAAGAUUACCGUCUCUUCAGUCCGAAGUCAAGGGUGCACUCAGGUGUUUAUUUAGGAGGUCUGUGCAUUUCUACAUUAAUCUUUCCCUCUAUCCUGAGUUUUCUCUCAGUUCUUCCUGCUGAAGAAAAUUGCCAUAGCUUAAUUUUGCACUUUAUCUCAAAAAUAGUGAAUAUUUAUGCUUUCGUAAUUAAUUACCCUGUUUAACACAGUUGCAAAAUAUCCCAAAAAUCUUUUUUCACAUUAUUAUGGAGGGUUGUGUAUAGAAGUUUAGUUAAAAAAAACAGGAAAGUUUAAGAAAAAAACAAGGCUGUAGCCUGUAAGAAAACAAAAUGUGGGAAAACAAAAGUGAUGCACGGUGAAUAAUUCUCAAGUGCACUGUCUGUACUUUAAUUAUUUUUGUCGUUUCACUCUGAAGCUUGUUGAAAAACUUCUGCAAACCAAGCCAGGAGGUGAGAAAAUACUCAAAGAAUACAGACAAACAAGAGAGGUUAAGGACCCAUUACCAUAGGCGUCAUUUUAACCGGGGACGCCGGGGACAUGUCCCCGGCAAAAUUUGUGAUUGGCAGCUGUGUCCCCCCCACUUAAAAAAAAGCCUGCUGAUGAGGAUUUUUGUUUUACCAGCUCAGAUCUUAUACCAGGGUUCGGCAACCUGUUCCCAUCAAAGAGCCAUUCUUACCCGUUUCCCACAGUAAAGAAAACACCGCAGCAGCCGCGGCGUUGUGGGCGGGGCCUACCCUCAGACAGCAGAGAGCUGCUCACAACCAGGUGACAGCAGCCAGUACCGGUCGCUCGCAUGGGCGUCGCACCCGUGGGGGACACAACACCCACACUUUUCCUUCUGUUUUGCUCACCUCCACACCAGUCUGGUUUCUUUACGUCGCACUCACAUCUCCUUCUUCACCUCCCUCUUCUGACAGCCGAUGUCGGGUUUCCAGGAGAGCAGGAGAGGGAGGGACGGAAGAGCUCGACUGAAUUCAUAAUUUUACAUCUUGACAUUAGCUGUACAAAGUCUGAGUUUGAUAACGUGAAGAACAACAAGUUGCAGAGGUUUAUAACAGGCGUGGCGCCAGGUUUUCAUUUUUGGGUGGGCCACGGUAAUUCUGGACGGAACUUAAUAAACAGUGACUUAGUGAAGCAGGCAGGGCACGCUAGAAAAUUUCAUUUAAAAAGACGUCAUAAAUGUGUUCCCCCGUCAUUUUUAUUUAUAAAAUAUGAAGUAAAAACUCCCAGUUUAAUUUUCAUUCAUUUGUCAUUAAUAUGUAGUCUACACCCGUGCGUUAAGUGGACCAUCUUCCAGUAAACGCAAAGCAUCCAGCCCACCUCUCCAAAUGCGUAAAAUGUGCAUCAGCUGCUAGUUAGGCGCGCCGCACGCACCAUCAGCUACGUCAGCCCAGACAAGAGCAGAGCAAAUAGAAUAGAGGAUAAUUGUGUCUGGAUGUGGAUGGAGAUUACAUUUUACAGCAGCCUGAUCAUCAUUUAAAUACGUAAGCCAUCACCUGUCUUCUAGUGCACGCUAUCAGCAUUAUUUUAAUUGGUGUGUGUGUGUGUGUGUGUGUGUGUGUGUGUGUGUGUGUGUGUGUGUGUGUGUGUGUGUGUGUGUUUUCCACUUCAAACACUGGUCUAACCAACCAGACCAGCGUGUCCAGUAACAUAUUAAUGUUACACUUCAUGUAGGGAACAUUUCACCUGCCGUGGCCCGACUGCUUCUGCUCCACAUAAACUUUGUGCGUAAUCAAAUGUCUCUACAGGUGCUUUAUGAGCUGAAGAGGCGAUUCUGCCUCAGACUGGAUGCGUAAUGCGUCUCCAUAUUAGAGACGGGAACAAGCGCUGUUCAGCCAAAGUUUCAUAAUUUCAUAAAAAGAACAUUUUCCAGGUGACACAUCCCUCAGAGAGACCGGGUUUCCAGAACGUUUCAGUGGGAGGAAAUCUUACCGCAUGCACCGUGGUUCUGCACUGCACUGCGAACCCCUCUACAGAUCUUCAGCCCACUGUCCACCGUGGGCGCUCCGAGCCGCGCUGAACACAGUGUCCAGUAUAAAGCUCUGAUGUUCUGAUGGGAAUCAAGUUACCUCUGCGAUGUGCGUAAUGAUUAAAAUGUCAGCUCAUCCAUGCGCGUCGUGGUAAUCCUUUCAAAACAACCAACAUCCUUGAGUUUAUCCGUCAAUAUGUGGCAAGGUGGAGAAACGAGGGCCCGGGCGGGAUUCGAUCCCCAGACUCCCGGGUGAGAGUCAUACGCUCUAACCAGUCAGCCAAAGGGACAACCCCUUGGCCAAGUAGCCAGGGCGCAUUAUCUAUCGGGACACUGUGACAGGACACUCACACUGCCACACCUGAUUAUGAAACUUUGGCUGAAUAGUGCUUGUUCAUGUCUCCAUUGUGGUGACGCAUCCAGGAACCUGUCUGAGGAGAAGCCCAGAAUCUGACAUCCUUCAGCUCAGGAAGCGCAUAUGAUUACGCACAAGCGUGACGCGUCAACCCGGUCUCACAGUAAGACCGGGUUGGACCUGUUCAGGUUUACGCAGACAAUCUUUACAUUUAGAAUUGGCAUACAGAUGUAAAAUUAAUGCAGUAAAAUAUAAAGCUUUUUAUUUAAAUAUCCAUUCAUUAUUUUACAAGCACAGAGAGCCGCAUCAGAUGGAUGGAAGAGCCGCAUGCGGCUCCGGAGCCGCCGACCCCUGUGCUAGCCUACUUUAUUGUCCCCAGCAAUUUUUAAACCCCACUCAAGUGUAUGGUUAUUGUCUCCAGCAAUUCUGAAAACAAACUGACGCCCUUGCUUGUAGCACCAGUAGAAGACGUAUCGUAGUACCAGCAGACGUAAAGUAGCACGUGCACCAGUACAAUUGUAAUCGUCUGCACGCACGGAGGUGCAGGUGGCGCGAUGACGUCACAAAGCCUUUAUGACUAACACGUCUGCAGCAUGGACAUAUACAUAUAGGUCUGCAGUCAGUGGUCAGUCAGUAUCAGACUUGCUUUGAAGAAGGUGGUUGGAUGGAUUGUUGCUCUCAGAAAACUUGUUGGUUUUGUGUAAACAACAUCUUUUAACAGCUUCCUUCAGAGAAAUCUGGUGCAUUUGGUGAAUAUUUAUAGCUAAAUUAUUCACUGCUCGAAUAUCAUGGAGUGCAAAAUGGUCUUUGUUCUCUCAAACAGCCAACCAGGUUUCCAGUCAGGGCUAAGGUCCUCUGAGCUACAGUCGUUUCACAAACGACGCAGAUAUGAACUUCUGGCUAGCUACAGAGGAACUAGCUUUGCAGAAACACAAAAACUGUGUCUGUCUGCAUCAAAACCUGACAAGUCUCGUCAGAUUCAGCCCUUUGAGGAACCAAGUGUCUUUUUCAAGACAGCCGUGUCUGUGGACCCCAGUGGAGGUUUAACAUCCAUCUCCAGAAAAAACUCCCCUGUUUUACGGGCUAAUCGACAAGACCAAAGAUAUAAAAUGCUGGCAAGGUACCGAGGAAUUUCCUUAGUGGAGAAAAGACAGAUGUCCUCUGUCCAACUCCAGGAUACUCCUCGCAUUCAGCUGUUGGGGAGAAGAAAGCGUUCGAGUGACGGAGGUCAGGAGAACUCUGAUUUCCCCAGCGCUGCUAAAAGGCCGAGGCUGUCAGAAGGCACACCUCAGCAGAAACGCCCCACUAUGAUCCGCCUCAAAGGUCGUAGGAAAGGGACGGAUUCAGGACCCAAAAGUGUCUCUGAACCCCCCAAAACUGCAUCUACCAUCAAGUCUGAGCAGCCUCGAACUCCACUAACCUGGAUUAUUGGAUCCAGUUACAUCAGACGGGGUGAAGAGGCGGCUCAGCAGCAGUUUGGGACAAACUUUGGACUCAGAGCUAAGGUCCAAUGGUUUGGUAAAGGAGGCAUGCGCAGGGGUGGUGUCCUUCCCAGGUUUUACUCCGAGGCUCCCACACACGGUCCUCCAGAUAUUCUGGUCGUUCACGCUGGAGGAAACGAUCUGGGUCUCGUUUCCCCGGUGGAACUGGCUUCUCAGAUCCAAAAGGAUUUGUCCCACCUCCAUAAGGACUUUCCGGAAAUGAGAAUAGCCUUUUCCGCCAUCAACGAACGGCAGUCGUGGAGAUACGGGCGACCAGGAAGAAUUAACAGCAACAGAAAACAGGUUAAUUCUUUACUGAGGAGGGCUGUUAGGAGCUUUGGGGGCCUGGUCAUCAAGCAUCCUGAGCUCAGGUUCUCCAACAACGCCCUUUUUCUCCCAGACAGAGUGCAUUUCAGUAAGAGAGGAAACAGCUUGUUUCUGGGCAGCAUUCACUCUGUUCUGGAGAAGAUUCUGGCUCAGAGGUGUAACACCUAAAUCUGUUACACCUUAAAAAGAUAACAGCUGACAGAAAUGGGCAAAUGGACACGCUUCUCAUCCGGCACGUGUGUGAAUCAACCGUUGGAUUAGGACUCCUGAAGAGCCAAAAACUGUCACGCUGAGCAGGUAGGACCCAAAACGCAGAAGCCCAGAAUGACUCGAGGCAAGAGCAGUUGAAAAAAGGUCAAAUCCUUUUAUUAAGGUGGCAACAAAAAUGACUUAGAUGCAGGAAUCAAAUCCAGAAAACUGAAAGCCAAAAAAAAAAUAAAGAAACAAAAGCUCAAUAAUGAGCACAAAGACUAGAACCUGACGAGGGAACAAAACAACGCUGACUCACAACGAUGGACCGACAAACACUGAGGGAAAAGACAGGACUUUUAAACACAGAACGAGGUGAUCAGAGGAACAGGUGACAGGUGUGAGUGAUCUGGAGGGAAGGCAGGUGCAUUCAGUAAACUAAAUGUGGAAAGAACUAAGCAGGAGAACCUGGAGGAGAACAGGAGGAGGCUGGGGACAGAGGGACACAGAACAUGACAACAACUGUCUUUUUAAAGACAAAACUAAACAAAAAACAUGAAAAAGAUGAACUUAAAGUUCAGAAAGCAUCUGAAUAAAAACCAAACCAAAAAAAAAAAAUCCAACUAACUGCCAGAGUUUCCCUUUUGGGUCACUUCUGCCGGUCCCAAGCCCAGAUUAAAGAGGAGGGGUUGGAUUAUAACACAGAACUAAAUCCACAGUAGAGGGACUUUACUCUUAAGAAAUAAAAUGAAGGCAGGUUAUGACAUAUACAAAUAUAUUUAGUAAACAUUUAUAGUUUCUAAUCAAACAUGUCAAAUAUAAAACUAUUUAUUAUACAAUACAGUACAAACCCAGUUGCAUCAGUGCAGCCGACUCUCACCAGAAAUGAGCUCGACUAACUGCCGACAAUGCGGACCGAGCUCUGACACCAGUCGUACAGGGUCCUUACAGCCCGUAUCAGAGGGCCUGGUACCCCAUACUCCUGAAGUACCCCCCAGAGGGUAUGGGCUGUUAGGACCCUGUACCCUACCCUGUACCCUACAGGUCCUGUUCUUGACUGGACCUGUAGUCACCUCAACAUCUGAUGCUGUACAAAAGGAGGAGGACUGAAACUUCAGCAGCGAGCUCUGAAGAAGACUGCAGUAGCAGUUGAAUGUGUUAAAGAAGAAUGGUGGUGAAAAUGACCUCCAUCCUACAACACCCCUCCUACCCACUCAGUGUAUAACCCCUCAGUUUAAGCUGUACUGGCAUGAUCCUGGUACACAAUAACACCAAUGCAAUAUUCAGUAUGUGUUCAAUAUUCGUGCAAUACCGGAUUUACAUGGUAUGCCUGUGUCCCUUACAGCAUGCUGCAUAGUUCUGGAACCCAAGUUUUUCAUUUUUAUUUGUAGUUUUUAGUGGUCGAAGGUUACAAUAAUAGCUUACUGCCUAUUUGUUAUUAUUUCUCUUCAAAUGAUUCUGGUGAGUGCUGGUGCUGCUGUAACAAGUGAAUUUCCCCACUGUGGGAUCAAUAAAGUCUCUUCUAUUCUAUUCUAUAUUAACAAUCGCUUUCUGCUAUGAUUAAUAAUGUAUCUUCCUUCAGUGCAUGUAACAACUCUGGGGUGGUUUUUGAUUUUUAAAAAAAUUCAUAAACAAGUUGACUCAUGAGUCAAGUAGUUUUCAUACCUCCAGAUUUUAGCUAAAGUUAAGCUCAGCUUUCAGCAGAUGAGUCCAACAGGUUCCAGCUGAGAGCUAUUUUUAUGUUUUGGUAACAAUGACCAGCACAAAUCAUCACUUUGGAAAAGUCACACCAGGUAAUCUAGAAAUCUGAUGGAGGACAUGCAAGUGAAACUGGAAACAUGUAAAUAUUGUGUAAAAGUCCAUCUAUUUCAGUAAUUCAACUUAGACAGAGAUACCAAGAGCGAGCCACCCCGAUUAUCUUGCCAUGACAUGUCGAGAUGUGCAGCAAAACAUGAAGUUACGUGGAUUUUUAUGCUAAACAAGCUUCUCGAAUGAAUGAUAUGGUGGACAUCUUGCAUAGCAUGGCAGAAAUUAAAGGAUAUGUUAAGAAGAUACUUAUGGAAUAAUGGCAAGAGCAUUGGAUAAGAGAGGAAAAGGGAAGACAUCUAUAUAAAAUUAGGGACAGAUUGGGUAAAAUGGAAAACAUUCCAAUGUGUAAUAGGAAUCAAAUGAUAAUUUCAAGACUGAGAAUGGGGCAUACGGGUUUAAACAGUACACUCUUUAUGAUAGGUAAACAUAGUACAGGAAUGUGUGGUUGUGGAAAGGAUAGAGAAACGGUAGAACAUGUGUUGUGUAAAUGUGACAAAUAUAUAAAGAAUAGGAAAAUAUUAUCUAGACAAUUAAAGAUGAAAGAUAAUGAAAAGUUGAAUUUGAGGAAUAUAUUAAUUGGAGGAUUAGAUGUUUAUAAAUUACUAAUUGAAUUUUUAAAGACUAGUAAUUUCAUAAAUAGAAUUUAAUUAGAACAGUUUCUCCCUAUUGCGACUCCCACUCCCACACAGAAGGUGGCGGAAAUGCACCUAGAAGUUGGUUGCCACCCGCCAAUAAACAAGAAGAAGAAGAAGAAGCUGGGCGAGAACGUUUACCUGGUGUCCUGACAGACAGGUGGGGCAGCGUGUCUGAGCUGUACACUGGGUGCAUGGAGGAUUAUUUUUACGGGUAAGGGAUCCUUUUAGUUUUUAUACAAUUGUUUAGAAAGGCUGGGGCUGGGGCUGUGUGUGUGUGUGUGUGUGUGUGUGUGUGUGUGCGUGUGCGUGUGCGUGUGCGUGUGUGUGUGUGUGUGUGUAAAUGAGCUGUAGGAUCAGUGGUGUGCAAGGGCGUCAGUUUGUUUUCAGAAUUGCUGGGGACAAUAACCAUACACUUGAGUGGGGUUUGAAAAUUGCUGGGGACAAUGUAGGCUAGCACAGGGGUCGGCGGCUCUGUAGCCGCAUGCGGCUCUUCCAUCCAUCUGAUGCGGCUCUCUGUGCUUGUAAAAUAAUGAAUGAAUAUUUAAAUAAAAUGCUUUAUAUUUUACUGCAUUAAUUUUACAUCUGUAAGCUAAUUCUAAAUGUAAAGAUUGUCUGCGUAAACCUGAACAGGUCCAACCCGGUCUUACUGUGAGACCGGGUUGACGCGUCACGCUUGUGCGUAAUCAUAUGCGCUUCCUGAGCUGGAGGAUGUCAGAUUCUGGGAUUCUCCUCAGCUCCUGGAUGCGUCGCCACAUUGGAGACAUGAACAAGCACUAUUCAGCCAAAGUUUCAUAAUCAGGGAACAUUUUCUAAGUGACAAGUCUCUGAGAGACAGGGUUUGGAAAACGCUCGCUUCAGUGGGAGGAACCUUCUCACAUGCGCUCUGGUUCUGAGAGCCUGGAUUUGUAUUCUGAACAGUCUAAACAUGUUUUUAAAAGAAACGUAUGACAAAAGUGGCACCUGCUCAGUAAAACCACCAACAGGGUGAAAAAUAUCAAAAUAUUGUAGGCAGAGAUGGGCUACAACUUCUGGAUCCACUUCAUAUAAAUCGUUUUAUUGAUUAUCUUCUUAUGAAAGAUAACUUUGACGUACACGAGCGACCAGGCGUGUUGCAAGAUUUUCAAAAGUGUGGGAGAUGUUGUCUGUGCCUAAAAUAAUUUGAUGUUAUUCACCUUGUUAGUUUAAUUUCCAUAAUAGCGGAGCAGGUGCGAAUUUUAGACGCGUUACGCAUGUCUCCGUUUUAAACAUGUUUAAACUGUUCAGAAUACAAAUCCAGGCUCUGUCUAGUUAGAUUGGUGUAACUAAAGUUUGUACAGAAUGAAACUUUACAUUAAACCAUGUUGAAAAGAAAAGGAUCCGAUUAAAUCAUUUCCCCUCAUUUACAGUCACGACGUACAGCGCAGUGCGCAUGGCUCUGGGGUUAAUCAAGUUUAAUUGUUUCUCUUUGCAACAAUCUUCACAAGAAGGCAAAACAGUUAAAUGGCAGGUUACAGAUAUUUCCAUUUGACUGUAUUUUGAUGGAUAAACUCAAGGAUGUUGGUUGUUUUGAAAGAAUUACCCCGACGCACACUGAUGCGCAUGGAUGAGCUGACAAUUUAAUACGCACAUCGCAGAGGUAACUUGAUUCCCAUCAGAACAUCAGAGCUUUAUACUGGACACUGUGUUCAGCGCGGCUCGGAGCGCCCACGGUGGACAGUGAGCUGAAGAUCUGUAGAGGGGUUAGCAGCGCAGUGCAGAACCACGGUGCAUGCGAUAAGAUUUCCUCCCACUGAAGCGGUCUGGAAACCCGGUCUCUCUGAGGGAUGGAAAAAUGGAAAAAUUGCAAAAAUGUUCUUUUUAUGAAAUUAUGAAACUUUGGCUGAACAGCGCUUGUUCCCGUCUCUAAUAUGGACACGCAUGACGCAUCCAGUCUGAGGCAGAAUAGCAGCUUAGAAAGCACCUGUAGAGACAUUUGAUCACGCACAAAGUUCAUGUGGAGCAGAAGUGGUCGGGCCACGGCAGGUGAAAUGUUCCUACAUGAAGUGAAACUGUUUAAUUGUAACAUUAAUAUGUUACUGGACAUGCUGGUCUGGUUGGUUAGACCAGUGUUGGAAGUGGAAUACACACACACACACACACACCAAUUAAAAUAAUGCUGAUAGCGUGGACUAGAAGACUGGUGAUGGUUUUAUUUAAAUGAUGAUCAGGCUGCUGUAAAAUGUAUUCUCCAUCCACAUCCAGACAGAAUGAUCCUCUAUUCUAUUUGCUCUGCUCUUGUCUGGGCUGAUGUAGCUGAUGGUGCGCGCGACGCGCCUAACGGCUGUGGUGCACAUUUUACGCAUUUGGAGAGGUGGACUGGAUGCUUUGCUUUCACUGGAAGAUGGUCCACUUAACGCACGGGUGUAGACUACAUAUUAAUGACAAAUGAAUGAAAAUUAAAUUGGGAGUUUUUACUUCAUAUUUUAGAAAUAAAAAUGACGGGGGAACACAUUUAUGACGACUUUUUAAACGAAAUUUUCUAGCGCGACCUGCCUGCUUCACUUAAGUCACUGCUUAUUAAGGUCCGUCCAAAAUUACCGUGGCCCACCCAAAAAUGAAAACCUGGCACUGCACCUGUUAUAAACCUCUGCAAAUUGUUGUUCUUCACGUUAUCAAACUCAGACUUUGUACAGCUAAUGUCAAGAUGUAAAAUUAUGAAUUCAGUCGAGCUCUUCCGUCCCUCCCUCUCCUGCUCUCCUGGAAACCCGACAUCGGCUGUCAGAAGCGGGAGGUGAAGAAGGAGAUGAGGCAAACAGAGCGAGUGCGACAUAGAGAAACCAGACUGGUGUGGAGGUGAGCAAAACAGCUGGAAAAGUGUGGGUGUUGAAUCCCCCACGGGUGCGAUGCCCAUGCGAGCGACCGGUACCGGCUGCUGUCACCUGGUUGUGAGCAGCUCUCUGCUGUCUGAGGGUAGGCCCCGCCCACAAUGCUGCGGCUGCUGCGAUGUUUUCUUUACUGUGGGAAACGGGUAAUAAUGGCACUUUGAUGGGAACAGGUUGCCGACCCCUGGUAUAAGAUCUGAGCUGGUAAAACAAAAAUCCUCAUCAGCAGGCUUUUUUGAAAGUGGGGGGGACACAGCUGCCAAUCACAAAUUUUGCCGGGGACAUGUCCCCGGCGUCCCCGGUUAAAAUGACGCCUAUGGUGGUGUGGAUGUGCCGAUUACCCGUUGUCUGUGAGCCCGUCCCAUGAAACAUAACAGGUAAGCGUGUGAUGAUUAAUUGAAAAGGAAGGAAAUCAGCAGUUUAAUAAUUAUUUCCUUCCUUUUAACAGAAAGCGCUGACACUGCUGUUUUUGUUCAGUUGAUUAUUUUGUUAUACUUAUUUUUCCUUUGAUAAAACUAAUGUUUUCAUUGUGAGUCACUUUUAGAAAGGGGGUCUAUGACGACUAGAAGGUUGGCUGUGGAGGGCCGCAUACGUGAGAGGGCUCAGCCGUAUUACCAGUUGGUGUGGAGAAUAGUGCGUGUUUUUAUUCUUUUUCUUGUUUGCAUGAUGAUUGCCGUGUGUAUUAAGUAAAUACAUCUACACAGCCCUGGUCGUUUUGCCUCCCUCCUCCAGCAGAAGGUGUCAUUAGUCCCCUCUGGGGUUUUUAACUGUCUUGUUCCUUUUUUUAUAUAGAAGAACUUGUUUUAUGCAUUGUGUGUAAAUAAACUCAAGUUUGGAGGAAGACAUUGUCUCAGCCCAUUGUUUGAUCAAGCGUGAUCACUCUCCGUACCUCAAAUAAUAGCAGUCAUGGGGCUCUAGGUUCACUUGUAACCAAAUUAAUAUGUAGUCAAUUCGCUUUCUUUCGCUGAAUUUCUACUUUGUUCUUGAUGGUCGCACGUGUGAACCAUGUGCACGAACACAUUCAGUGCAAACACACACAUGCAUUUAGAUGUCUUAAAUUAAAUUGUGUGCAUUAAUCUUAUAGUACAAGCAGUAGAGUUAUCUUCUGUAAUAUGUUUUAAUGGUGGGCUGGUUUGAUUAAUAUGUGUGAUAGGCUGGCCGAUCAACUGGUUGAGACGCCAACCAGUCCUGCUACAUCUACAUACAAACAGUCCAAAGAACUGGGUGUGUGUAGCCUCUGUGAGGCCCUCCACAUACGGGCCCUUGAACACCCAGAUGGUCUGUUACACAUACGUCUCUGGUUCUGAUAAAGCGGCCAAGCAGUCAAUAAUAUUUACAAACAGUCCCAAGUCUAUAUAUAUGUCUGUGGUCCCACGAUGAACACGGGCUUUAAAAACUCUGGACAUCUCCUGUGAUUUAAAUUCCAGGGGCGUGUCCAGGGAGUGGCCUGGGGUAGCACCAAGCCCCACAAUGCCUCUCUAAAAAUGGUCCCAACCCGGAAGUAAGAAAAAUUGCAGUUCCACCUUCAUCCGCUGGGGGCUGGUCUCAGAAGCGAGCAAAUCCUCAUUGACUCCCAUGUUAAAAAUGCCAUUUCCACAGCAGAAAUAAACAUGUUUACAGCCUGGUUCCAAAAUUUUUUUUUUGUCUAAAUUAUCUAGUUUAUACUCAUGACAACUCUGAGGGGGUGAAUUUUUUUCUCACUCUUCUGUUUAAGUGUAUUGAAAGCCUAAAAUUCUGUAUAAUUAAUGAGCAUCCGACACACGUGACCGCCGCCUCAGACCCACGUGACCACAUAGCUAGCUCCGUGGAAAGGCCUCAGUACAGCCUCGGUCUCUCCUGGAAACUGUUUCGGGAUUUUGAGUCUCUGUGCUUGUGAAUUCUGUUUUGGAUAUGUUUGGUGCAAUUGUUGGACAAAAUGACUUGCUGUGGUAUUAAUUGCACUAAUAGAACGUCCAAGGAGUCUCCACUUCAUUUUUUUCGGGAAGGACCUGAUUGGUGUCCAGAACCUGCUGUAGAAGCACCAGGCUCUGCAGGCUGAGAUCACAGGUCAUGAACCUCGCAUCAAGGCUGUCACCCAGAAAGGAGAGACCAUGGUGGAGGAAGGUCACUUCGCUGGUGAGGAAGUGAAGACUAAACUGUGGGAGCUUCAUGGACGUUGGGAGACGCUGAAGGCCAAGGCGUCCCAGAGGAGGCAGGACCUGGAGGACUCUCUGCAGGCCCAGCAGUACUUUGCGGAUGCUAAUGAGGCCGAGUCCUGGAUGAGGGAGAAGGAGCCCAUCGUUGGAAGUCCAGACUAAGGGAAAGACGAGGACUUGGCCGAGGCUCUCCUGAAGAAGCACGAGGCCCUGAUGUCGGACCUGUCGGCUUACGGCAGCAGCAUCCAGGCCCUGAAGGAGCAGGCCCAGUCCUGCAGGGUGAGUUCAGAAACCUCGGCCCGUCAGAACAUUCUUAUCCACCACGUUCUAACACCAGACCUGUUAACCCGACAGCAACAAGGUUAUCAGCAGGUGCUUUUGUCCUGCAGGACUUGAAGGCCAACGAGUCCCGCCUGAGGGACAUCAACAAGGUGGCAUCUGAACUGGAGUCAGAAGGUCUGAUGGCUGAGGAGGCUCCUAUGGUUCAGGUUCAGGUGAGCGUCACCUGUCUGCAGCAGCUGGUCCCUCUCACUUCUUGGUUUAACUCUGCUCGUCUCUGUUUGUAGCAACAAGAACAUCUGGGUUCUGCUCCUGGAAAGGUGCAUGUUGUCCUCCGCCUCCACCAGAACCAGACGUGGUGUUUUUGUUACCACUCAUUUGUUUGUUUGUUUACAGGAUGAAGCAGACUCUAACACGGCGUCACCCUGGAAGACCGUACAGUUGGGCGUUCAGACGAUGGCUAACUUUAAUUCCAUCAAGGUAAGAGG